rnacentral:rRNA from 1 species
GCUAUACAUGCAAGUCGAGCGAAUGGAUUAAGAGCUUGCUCUUAUGAAGUUAGCGGCGGACGGGUGAGUAACACGUGGGUAACCUGCCCAUAAGACUGGGAUAACUCCGGGAAACCGGGGCUAAUACCGGAUAACAUUUUGAACCGCAUGGUUCGAAAUUGAAAGGCGGCUUCGGCUGUCACUUAUGGAUGGACCCGCGUCGCAUUAGCUAGUUGGUGAGGUAACGGCUCACCAAGGCAACGAUGCGUAGCCGACCUGAGAGGGUGAUCGGCCACACUGGGACUGAGACACGGCCCAGACUCCUACGGGAGGCAGCAGUAGGGAAUCUUCCGCAAUGGACGAAAGUCUGACGGAGCAACGCCGCGUGAGUGAUGAAGGCUUUCGGGUCGUAAAACUCUGUUGUUAGGGAAGAACAAGUGCUAGUUGAAUAAGCUGGCACCUUGACGGUACCUAACCAGAAAGCCACGGCUAACUACGUGCCAGCAGCCGCGGUAAUACGUAGGUGGCAAGCGUUAUCCGGAAUUAUUGGGCGUAAAGCGCGCGCAGGUGGUUUCUUAAGUCUGAUGUGAAAGCCCACGGCUCAACCGUGGAGGGUCAUUGGAAACUGGGAGACUUGAGUGCAGAAGAGGAAAGUGGAAUUCCAUGUGUAGCGGUGAAAUGCGUAGAGAUAUGGAGGAACACCAGUGGCGAAGGCGACUUUCUGGUCUGUAACUGACACUGAGGCGCGAAAGC